CAGCGCCACAAGUGGCAAUCACGUUUAUUGGGCCUAAAGCGUCCGUAGCCGGUUUAGCAAAUCUUUUGUGAAAUCGUCAGGCUUAACUUGACGAAUUGCAGAAGACACUACUAGACUAGGGACUGGGAGGAGUCAGAAGUAUUCUGGGGGGACCGGUAAAAUGGUAUAAUCCCCAGAGGACUACCGAUGGCGAAGGCAUCUGACCAGAACAGAUCCGACGGUGAGGGACGAAAGCCAGGGGAGCAAACCGGAUUAGAUACCCGAGUAGUCC
rnacentral:rRNA from 1 species